CACCACCAUACCUUUGUCGUCAACUGAAAAAAUGAGAUAGACCAACCAACGCCAAAAUGAUUAGUUUGUGGAGAAAUGAAGACUGACCAAGGAAUUGUUCAAAGUUGCAAUGAAGAGAAAAGAGGCGGGGGUGGGGGAACAGGAAGAAACCGCGGGAAAAAAGAAAAUUGUGUGUUUGUGUGUGUGUGUGUGUGAUGGGGGGGGGGGGUUAUAAGGAAGAAGAUGAGGUAAGUUGACUCGGCACGAAGUUUGAGAAAAAAAAAGACUUUUGAAACUUGUGGUCUUAAAAGCUUAAGGGGUAAAAGCUUUGUGGGUCAUGACAUUUAUGUGGUUAUAAAAACUUCUCAUUAAGGGUAAAAUAGGUAAAAUGAAGAGUUUAAAGUUGAAUUAUUUCCAAAUUUAGAAAUGUGUCAUUUAUUUUGGAACAGACUAAAAAGGAAAAUACAUCAUAUAAUUUGAAACAUAGGGAGUAUUUUUUCAUUCAGAUUUAAUAUUUUUAAAUACAGUAAUACGAACGACACUUUUUCUGCGUGAUUAGCACGUACUUUGACCACGUCAGCUAUGCUAUUGCCACAUAAGCAUAGUCAAAGGUCAGAGGUGUUCACUUAUAAGUAAUCGAUUGAGUUGAGGUGCUAAAAUAGGAAAAUCGAAAGUUCAUAUAUCGGCUUUAAAAUCCGGUUCAAGUUUAGGUGGCCCAGAAGCCAUUUCGCCCUUUCCAUAUACUGCUUAUUUUUGUAGGACCAAAAUAUUAUUUUAAAAACAUUUGUAGGACCAAAAUAGAUAUUCCUUCUUUUUACAGAGUCAACACUAAGAAAGGGAGGCUUUGCCUCAGGAAAUCAUAAACUCUAUUCUUUAUUUAUUUGUUCUUAAAGUCUAAGUCAUUCAAAAUCAAUCAAAUUCCAUGCACACAUUACUUACAAAUUAAAAGAAUUGCAACAGCAUGAAGACUAUGGCCAAAAUAUAGAACUGCAAUAAAGCUGAUACUAGCCAUUGCAUCCAUCAAUUUCAUCUACAAGGGGACUAAGCCUUGCAGCAAUCUUUAAACGUUCUCUCGACAGCAAAUAUUCAUGGUCACAACAAUUUCGUUGAACAAAUGAUGAAGAACCUUAAAAAGCCAUGUUCUUAUUGCAACAAAAAUUCGUUCAAAUUCAACAUAACCCAUGCGAUUAAUUACUCUUACCUGCUUCAUUGUCAAGCUCUUGCAAGUAAUGCAAAAUCACCUUACACAAAUAUGAAGUUGAAAAGAAGAAGCAUCUUAGAAUCAUAGUUCUGUUUUGGCAAAAUUAGGCUAUUAGUUAUCCUGAGAGAAGAGUGAAAAUCCAAGCUUCAACUAACUUGGGAUUGGACUUUGGAGCAUAGUUAAUUGAUUGAUUUGAUCGUGAACCCUUCCCAAUUUGGUCAUUCUUCCGCAAGUGUUUCCUUUUCAAGGACGCACCAAAUAUGAAAAUUGAAUUUGCACAUAGAUGCAGUACACCAGAAAGCUUUCCAAACAGCAAAGAGAUUAAACCCACACAUAGUUCAAGAUCUUGCGUUGAACUUGACAGAAUUUCUUUUAGCUAUUAAUUCUGUUUAUAAUGAUUUACCACCACAUCUAAAUUAAUAGGAAAUUUUUUCAAAAGGGCUUUGACUCUUUGCAAAUGCACCAAGAUCAUCAUUAAGAGGAAAUUUAUAUUACAACAAAAAGGGCAGCCCGGUGGACUAAGCUCCCGCUAUGCGCGGAGUCCGGGGAAGGGCCGGACCACAAGGGUCUAUCGUAUGCAACACCAAUCAGAAAAUCACCAGACAAUUCUAUAAAGUAUGGUCCAUAUGCAUAUGCACAUACAUAAUCUAGAUAUAUAAGUUAUAUUAGAAGUGUAGAAACCAUCGUUACAGACCAUGUUUUAAUCUCACCAGCACAGGAAUUGUCAGAAUAGAAGCUUGUGAAAUACAACUAAAAGAGAAGCAAUAGCCAUGGCCAACCAAGCAAACCAACAAAAAGCAAAAAUUAAAGUAAAAUUCAGAUCGCUACCUGAGCCAGCAACUGUAGUGGCUUGCAUGUACUUCUCGUCUUGAAUAUACCUAGCAGCACAAACGUCCAUGAGCUAGUCUCUAUUGCUCCUGGCUCGGCUACAACAUACCCGUCAAAAUCCAAUUGCAAGAAAAACCCGAGAUCUCCAAAUUUGAAACCUCUCCGGUAAUCAAAAUUUUCACUUUAAGUCCUACCAAAAGCCUCUUCUUCCGACAGGCCUCCACUAUCAUACAGUUCCAAAGUACUUUGCAUUAUUUUCGAAGCCCUAAACUCAUUCCUCUUAUGAAUUAUAUAUGCUUUGGAUGGAAAGGAAGUGUAUUGGCUGACGGUACUAUAUGACUCAUCCAUCCCUAGAAAAAGUUAAUUGGAUGUUACUUCUUCUGCACGUAUCAUAAGAUAGCCUUACUCUCGAAUUCUCUCUACCAAAACUUUAAUUCAGGUAGCAAGCUGAAUCAAAUUAUCUAAGAGAAUGCAAGAGCAAGGCAACCUUAUC
rnacentral:lncRNA from 1 species